rnacentral:ribozyme from 1 species
AGAAAAGUCGACGCACUAUCGCGGAAGAGGAAGAGUCGAAGGCGAAGGCGGAAUCUUCUGGCGACGAUGUAGAAAUGCAACAGGGAAUGGCUGACGAAGAAACGAAACUUGAUGAUAAUGGCGACCAACCGCACAACAAAGAAACUGUGACAAGAGCAGCAUCUCGGUCGAUACAAGU